UCAGGCGGUCCCUCAUCAUCUGCUCCCGCCGCGGGUCCACCUUCUUCUUCUUCUUUGGCUCCGCUCUUAUGCAACACAACAACACACACCUCUGCAAAUGUCAUCUCGCCUACACAAUCAGGAAGGACUGCUGGCUCAACAACUGUCCAGCAGACGGUCAUCGACCUUGAGUAAGCCACAAAAGGUCACUUUCAAAGAAGCUGCGUGUUCAGAGGUGUGCAUCCAAUUAUUUUUAUGGAAACUAGUGUGUUAGAAAAGGAACUGUGACAGCUGCAGUGGUGAGAGGAGCACCAAAGCCCAUCAUUUACCAUUCAAGAGUUUGGGGGAGAUUCAUAAGCUGUUGACUGCAGCUGGAGUUAGAGCUUCAAGAGCCACCAGACACUGACAAUGCCUGGACCUGAACUACUACUGUUGUAUUCCUUCACCUGAUCUGAACCUCAAUGGAGAACCAACUGAGUAUUGGAAAUACUUUCCAGUGGCCUGAA